AAUCCCCAAACCAAAAGACAUAGGUACAACAUUAUCAAUGAAUGAAGGAAUAGAAACAAAGGACGCCUUUCGACACAAAAUUGUGCUCUUGUAAUCACCAAUUAUGUUCAAAACUAUGUUCUCUCACAAUCACCAAUUAUUUUGGUUUCAGUUACCAUUUACCAACCACUCUCCUCCACAUGUAAUCUUUCAUCAGUUUCAUGUCUUGAAGAAGGAACAAUUCACACCACUACUGAUAUAUCUUACUCAGUCUUCAUAGGCUGACUGCAACUCUUCACUAAUGUAAAUAUAUUGACACUUUCUUAUCAUACCCUAAGAUUAUUGAAAGAGCUGUCAAAUCUUGCUACAAUGAGAAUUCAACCUCCGUGCUUUGUUAGAUUGGAGUCAUUGAAUGUGAAAAUAGAUCCAUAAGUAGAAAUAUCUGAUGAAGAAGUAAACAGGGCAGUGGAGUACUUACUUCAAAACUCUCCACUAAUCAGAGUUGCUGUCACAAAAUGCUGAAACAAUGUUUCUUGCUUAACUAUUUAGAUGAGUAUAGGAGGGAAGUGGAAGGAAAUCAUUGAUGUUGGGGACAAGAUAAUAUGACUUUCAUGUAAACUUAUGCUCGCAAAUUUUGAUUUACUACUAAAAUGCAUAAAUAUCUAUGAUUCUUAAAUCUCUAGAUA